GAGUAGUAAGAGAUGAUCUUGAAACUUAAAAUUUUUGGCGGUUUUUUAAGCUGUUUAGAGGAACCUGUCCUGUUAUAGAUAGUCCCUAUUGAUUUAACUUUAAAAAUUGGUUUAUAUACCUCCGUCGUAAAGUAAAUUUUUUAGAAUUUAUUGAGAUUUUUUUUUGAAAGGAUGACAGGUCAAGGUGUACUGAUGUUGAAGGGUGAGAUGGGUUACAAUGCUUAAUUGGUAUACGGAGAUUAUAUUAGAAUAUAAUUGUUUGAAGGUGGAUUUAAAAGUAAUUUUAUAGAGAUUAAGAUGCUGAAAUGAAGUGAUGGUAGCUCUGAAAAAUGU
rnacentral:rRNA from 1 species